rnacentral:rRNA from 1 species
GGAUCCUACGGGAGGCAGCAGUGAGGGAUAUUGGUCAAUGGCCGAAGGGCUGAACCAGCCAAGCCGCGUGAAGGAAUAAGGCCCUACAGGUCGUAAACUUCUUUAGCCAGGGAACAAAGGGAGCCACGCGUGGCGCUGUGAGUGUACCUGAAGAAUAAGCAUCGGCUAACCCCGUGCCAGCAGCCGCGGUAAUACGGAGGAUGCGAGCGUUAUCCGGAUUUAUUGGGUUUAAAGGGUGCGUAGGCGGU